rnacentral:lncRNA from 1 species
ACUUUGGAACAUGAGGGCGAGUCCACGAGUGUGAACUUUGUUUCCAACAAUGACUCGCCACUCCCCGUUGGGACCGAGCCAGGCGGUGGUGGGGUCUCGGAAGGAGCUGGCAUUAAUUUGGUUUUGUGGGGUGGGGGCCAUGAGAGGGUUUUUUGGGGAUUUGACCCAUUCUCUUAGAUAUGGGUCAGAGAGGUUCUUGGGGACAGCCAAGUUUUGAACUUGUUGGUUUUUAGGGUUAAUUCCUGUGUACAAAAUCGCCGGUUUCUCCCCGGGGAGGAUGGUGGCGGAUCCUGACCAGCAGCCGUUGAUAUCAGACGGCUGAGAUGGGAAGAUGGCGUGAUCAUGGGGUUCCCAAUUGAUCAGGUCCGUUGAUGUGGAGUGAGCCCACACAAUGUUGCCCCACACUGCUCCUUUUGGGUUGUAUUGGUAAAACAGAUGAUAAAUUCCUUUGUAUAUCAUUGGACCUGAAAUAUCCAACAUUUUGGUAUUGAAAAAAACCCCAAGAACCAAAUUUGUAAUAAUCUUAGUAUUUAUUUAUGUUGAAUAAUUGAACAAAUGUAGCAAAAAAUUUAGAAAAGAAAACAGAGGAGGUGGAACUAACCAUUUGGAUCUGAGAAUGAUUUCGAGUGAAUUUCAUUAUCAAAGCACAUGUAAAAGAGAAAAGUUAGUGGAGAGAAAAAACCCAGAAGCAAAAAGCAAAAAUUGAAAGAAAUGAAGAAGAAGAAAGUGAGAGAAGAAGAAAAAAAACCAUUGAUCCAAUUCUUGGGAGGUUGAAAAUGGUAGGAAGUUCUAUAAGGUUGUCGAUGAUGAUAAUGAUAAGGAAGAGAGGUAGAAGUUUGAGGUUUGUGAACAUGGUGAGAAGCUUGAAGUUGAAAAACUCCAUGGCCAAACAAGAAACAGAGGAAAGAGAUGAAACAGAGAGAGAUGGAAGCCAUUGGAGAGGAAUUUGUUAACUCAGUAUUGGGUAUUUCAGAUAUAUAUUUAUAACUAAAAUUCUGAUUUUGAUUGGUCUUUUUUAGAGAGAGAGAAAAGGCAAAAUCAAGAAACUUGAAAGGGUGAAUUUGUAUAUUAAUAAGUCAAUUUGAUGUUUGUGUCUAAGUCUUUGGGGGACGGUUUGGUUUGUGGGAAUAAAAAGGAAAAUUAUGGACUCGAUUUUUGGAUUACCACGUUUGUGACGAGCUAACAACUUAAAACAAUGGGUUUGUAUUGAUAUGUCAUAUUGAUGCUUUUGUAUAAUUGUUGACUAAAUUUGAGAGGAUUGUUUUCUUCCUGGGAAUAAAAAAAAAUCAUGAAAUGGACAGCUAGAAAUUCUUGAGCAUCUUAAAAUCCUCGUUUCAAAGGUAGUUUACGCCUUCGUAAAAUUUAGGUUUUUAGAUUCUCAUAUUGAGAGUAUUACCAUUGUUUUUGUUUUGUUAGAAAGUUAUUCGAUUUAUUUUAUAUAAAAUAAAAUUGAUGGAUGUUGUUUUGGUGAGAGAGUUGCUAAUAUAAACUAUUUUGAUAUUUUUCAAACAAAAAAUUAGUAUAAAAUAAAUAGGAAAAUUGCAUCAAAUUAGAAAAAAAUUUAGAAAAAACUAUUUUGAUAUUUAUUUUUGCAUAUUGCAAAUAUGACAAGUCUGACAAGUAAUUAAUGAUAUCAGACAAUUAUCGGACGGCUAUCAAACACUUAUUUACUUUUAAAUUUGCUAUUUUUACAAUUUAAAAAAUAUAAUGACAUGGACCUAAUUAUCAUAAUUUUUUUUGUUGUUGCUAUUUUUGCAGAUGCAAAUAUGUUAUACAUGUUUAAAUUUUAUUAAAUAAAUUAUAAAUUACGAGUAGUCGUAAGAAAUUAUUACAUAUUUUAUACUUUUAAAAUCACAAAUAUGCUGUAAAUUCAAUUAAAUACUAAGUAAUUUUAUUUUUAAUUUUCUGUAAAUUCAAUUAAAUACUAAGUAAUUUUAUUUUUAAUUUUCUGUUUUUGAAAUUUAUACUAAUUUCUAGCCGGAAGUAAAAAUUACAUUUUCAAAAGCAUUAGUAGAAAAUAAAUAGCAGAAUAAAUAUUUAUAAGUGUGGAAUUUAGAUGUAGACGUGGUCUUUAAUUAUAAGAUUACUUUUCAAAAACAAAUUUAUCAAAAGAAACCAAAAACGUUCAAAUUUGUAUUAUAUAAGAUUUAUAAAUUUUACAAGAAUGUCAAAUAAAUCAAUUGUUUAAAGAUAUAUAUUAAUUAAUUGAUAUGAAUAUACGAUAAUUUAGAAUUAUUUUUUAGUAAAAAUAAGAAGUGAAUAGUUAGAUGAACAUAUUGAUCAUCAACAUAUAUACUUUGUCUUUACCUUAUAAAAUCGACUCAUAAUGUAAUCUCUUUGGCUUCGAGAUAAAGAGGAGAAACACGCUGACACACACGUCUUGCUCGAUUGUAGCUAGACGUAGAAUUAAUAAUAUUCUAAACUAACUUUGGAUUAUUUUGGAUUUUUUUUUCAACUACAUAGUAAUUUAAUUAAUAUUCAAGAAAUAAUGUUGAAUUUGAGAGGUUUAAGUUAUUAGACUAGAAUGAUUAAUUUUUUAAAAAAGAAGUUUUUAGACUAUUCUACUUUGGGCUAUCUACAUCAUUGAAAAAUUUAUUGUUGACUUUAUGAUCUAAAAAGAAAACCACAUCUCACUAUAAACAACUUAUCUAUUCUUUUAACUUUCAAGAAUUUAUAAAAAAUAGAUAUAAAGAUGAGUCAUGAAGCAACAUUCAACCUUUUAUUUGAUUUAGACAUUACGUUUAGGACUCUAAUUACUAUAUAUAUAUAUAUAUACACUUGAUUACAUAAUUUUAUGUAACUUCUAAUUAAAUUUCAUUCUUAUUAAAUUUCAUUCUUAUUUAACCAUAGUUUUUAGAGAAAUUUUAAAAAAUAGCGAAUUUUACAAAAUAUUUACAACCUAUAGAAAAUUCUAUCACUGAUAGUUAUUGAUAUGUUAUAGUGAUAAAAGACUAUUCGUGAUAGAAUCCAAAAUUUUGUUAUAGCUUGUAAAUACUUUAAUUUAUUUUGUUAUUUUAAAAAAUGUUUCUACUUUUUUAGUCUUCAAACCACAAACAUUAUUUUUCUAACUAUUAAAUACAUAUAUUAACCAUUUGUCUUAAUUAAUUACUUUUAAGAAAAUAAUAAGAGAAUUGUAAAAAAUAACAAAUUUGACAAUAUUUACAACAUAUACCAAAAUUCAGAUUCUAUCAAUAAUAAACAUUGGUAAACACUGAUAUGCGUCUAUUUGUAACAUUUAUAAUAUAAUUCAAAAUUUUGUUAUAACUUAUAAAUAUUUUAAUUUAUUUUGCUAUUGAAUAAUAAUAUUGUAUUUUGAUAAACUAAUUAAUUUCAUAUUAAAUUUGUUUGAACUAAAAAGAGAUCAUAUUAAUUAAAUAUAGGUAUAUAUAUUAUAUUGGUGUAUGAUUUUAAUUUCAAAUAAUAUUAAAAUAAUAAAUAUAGGAAUUGAAAUAUGAAAUUAUACUUAUAAAUUAAGCUAUAAGAAAAAAAAUGUUAAUUUAGUUUUAAUGAUCAAUAUGAGAUGAAAUAAUAAUAUACUAAACAGCAUCAUUGAAACAACUAUUACUUUUAUCAUUUAAAAAACAUUAAUAGAUUGUAUUAGUAAUUAAUUAAGGAGUUUUUUACAUCUCACCCUAUAACUCAUAUUAGCAAAAUGGAACACUUCUUAAUUUUUAUUGGUCACAAAACUAGUUAGAAGCUUAUUUUCAUGCACGACGGUCUAUUUAAAUAGUCAGUGGUCGUAUCAAUCAACUGAUAUUCAUGUAAAUAAAAAAUUUAAUAGACGAUUUAAAAUUGAUAAACUUAUAAAAGUUUAAAGUCUAACAGUGUUGUGAGAGCACAUUUCUUGACAAGAAUUAUAUAUAACGAAACAUUUAAACAUGACGUGUAGUAAAAAACUAAAAAAGAAAAUAUUUUUUAUGUCGAAUUAUAGAUAACUGUGACACAUUUAAAGCGUCAAUAUAAGAGUAUUAAUGACAAUAUAUUGGUGUCGAGUUAUAGAUAAUGGUGAUACAUUUAAAAUGUUAACGUAAGAGUGUUGAAUGAUAAUAUAUUAGCCUCAAUAGAUAGUGACAUAUUUAUUGUGUCAAUGGGUGUCAUCUAAGCAGUGUCGUUAAAUAGCCUUUCUUAACAGGAGCUUCAAUGAUGUAAAAAUUGUAUUGUUGAAAAUCCAAAUUUCUAGUAGCGUUUAUUUUCUCCACCUUUCUUCUCCAUUUUAGCUUUUUAAAUAAUACCCACAUAUAUUUUAAAUAUAAUAUAAAUCUUGAUAUAUAACUAUUACUUCGAAGUUUAAAUGGUUUACAAUUUUAAAAGUUAAACGUUUAAAUCGAUAAGUUAUUAUUUUAAAUUUAUUAAAUUUAUAAUGUGAGAAGAGUAUGAAAGAGAGACUAAAUUAUGGACUAAACAAGACUUGGAAUUUUCAAAAAGGCAAUGUGCUUUUUUAAUCAUAGAGAAUUAAUUUGACUUUUAUGAUUGAGGGUCUCAUUAAAGAAAAGCAUUAAUGUAUGUUUUGAAUUAAAAGUACUUUUUAUAAUACUAAUGAUAACAUGCUUUUCUAUUGGAUUAUGAGCCUAAAUAUUGUUUGGUAAGUUUGACUAAUUAAUUAAUUGUUAAACCCUAAACUUAUUUAAGAAUUAAUAUAUUUAUUUCUUAGCUUUUUUUUCUUUUUUAAUGCAGAAUAUAUAUUUAAUUCUCUUUUUCUUUUGUGUUGUAUACUUAGUAACAUGGAAGUAUAAUUUUUUUUUCAACAAGUUGACAUAACCUAAUGAGACAAACCAUCAUAUAAACUAUUAGAAAAUACUCAAAUCUUAGCUUACACCCAAAAAAAAUUAAGAGAAAAAACUUAUAUAUUGAUACCUAGUAAUCACUAAAAAAAAAUUGUCUAGUUGGAGUUUGAUCUUUGUUUAAUCUCAUCUUUGUUUCACAUUUAACUCGGUUAUUAACUUAAUUAUAUUUAGGUUAACUUAUUGUAAUACAAAAAUUCGUUUUUCUUAAUUAAAAUAAAUUAUACAUCUUAUCAUGUUAAAUUUACUAAUGUACAUUUGUUAAUUUUUACCCAAAACUAGCUAGAACCACACUUUAAACAAUCUAAAUUACCAUCACUUUAACUUUCAUUUAUUUAAUGAAAAACACUCUUUAAACGUAAAAUACAACUUUUUAAGUAUAAUUAAGUAGGUAAUUAAAACCUACCACAAAAUUUAGGGUAAAGAAAAUUUAAUUACCCAAAUUGGGUUUAUUCAAAACCCACUACAUAAUAAUACACACAAAUGAGAAAAAAAAAUGGGGAAAAAAUAUAUAUUAUGUCCUCACUCAUUUAAUUUCCAUCCUAAUAAAGUUAGUAGUUGGGAUUUUGGAUCAAUUGAUAUGAGCUUUCUUCAUGCUCCAAGCAGUGAGUUUUGUAAUGGUGACACUGUCUGUUCCAUUGUUGAAAGCAUAGAGACUAACAUUGUCUCCAAUGGCUAAUGUGGGAUAAACUCUUGCUGUUAUGCAACCCUUUCCUUUAAUUCCAAAGCUUUCUACUAUUGAGUGAUCGAUCUGUAAUUGUUUCACAAUUGUUGAUCAUAUAAGUUUGACGGUCUUAUUUUUAAGCUUCAAACAAUGUUAAGAUUGGACCUUAAACUUAUAGCAAUUAUAGAAAUGCUUAUAUGAAGGCGUAUAAUUUAAACUACGACCAUUACCGAAUAUAUUUCUCUUAAUGGAUAUAUGUGGAUGAAGAUGAUGCAUAAAUUAAUUAACGAAAAUAGAAUAAUCUCACCAAGCUUCUUAGUGAAAUAUUUUCACGAGUUGGAUCCACGUCUAAGAAUGCUCCAUAUGUCGUCUUGUCAUUAUUCGAGUGAAGAGAAGACCUAAAAUACAUUUAGUAAAAAGAGUUUAAAAGUGAAUAAAUAUAUGGUUUAGCAUUAAUUACUUAUUUUUAUUAUCCUAUCUUAUCUCAUGUCUCUAUAUAUUUGUAUCAUUCAACUCGUCAAAAUAGUUGAGCUCAACUCAAAUCUCUCAUUUGUACUAAUAGUAUAUGGAUCGUACCUGCUUUGGUCACUACACAUGAGAACAACAUAUUUGUGUGGUUUUUUGAAUACUGUAAAGAAGACAGAAGUGUACUCUUUGAGGUCAUUUGAAGCCAAAACUAAAAGCCCAAAUGGACCAACUGAUCCACCUUCUGUAGUUGACGAUGUUCCCUUUUGGCUACAAAGCAACUGUGGGUCUUUCCAUUCAGGUUUCAAUAUUUCAGCUUUCUUCAAAUUUUCCACUUUGAAUGAAAUCUCCACAUCUGCCUGUAAUUAUAUCUAUAUAUCAACAAAAAAACAAAACCAAAGAUCCCUAAAUCAAACAACCCCUUGGUUAUGCCAUUUUUGACAUAUCUGUCUUCUAGUGCUUUAGAAAUGUUCAAAUCACCCUCAUUGAACCUAGAAAGUUUUAGGUUGUACGUUUAUUUAAUUAACAAUACAAUAAUUUAAGUGUUAUAUAUUAUGUUAAACAAAAAUUUGGAUACGAUCUAGGCUUAGUUGUGUGUAUUAUACAGGAAAAACUUAUUCAAAGCCUAGUCCGAAAGAUUAAAUUUUGAUUGAACACACUUAAUACUAUGUUAAAGCUCUAACUCAAAAUCUAAAACUCGUUGAUUAUGGUGAAACUUUUGAAAAAACAAAAAAUUAUUAUACCUGUGCCGCUGUUACACCUUUCACUUCAAUGGUUGAUCCUUUCUUCAAAACUUCAUUUGUCAAUUUAACUUUGUUGUUUCGAAGCUUUUGAAUUUCUACAAUUGGCCAUUGAAUGAGUUGUUUUCCAGAUGCAUCUAGCCAAAUAGCCCUUGGAAUUGCCUACAAAAAUCGAUCGUAACCAAAUAAUAAGGAAAGAAUGAAAUUACAUAUAGAGUAUAGCCAAUCGUUCAUAAGUUUAAUUUUCAAUAGAGCAUAUAGCCAAUAUUUGGACUGACAAUAUUUUUUACAAAACAAUUAUCAAACGGGAUCUUAAGAAAUGAAUCAAAAUUACCUGGACACCGGACCAACCCUUCUUGAUAUCAUCAUCGACACUUGAAGAUUCAUUGACCCAACCCCACAAAACCCUUCUCUUCUUCUGGCUGUCAAAGAAUGUUUUUGAAGCAUAAUACUUCCCAUAAUCAUAUCUUAACCCAUUGUAACCUUCUAUUGAUCCUUUAUUUGGAAUGUAAAUGUCUUUUUUCCAAUUAUAUGUUCCAACCGUAUAAACGUCGUGCUUGGUAUCAUCCAAGCUCACCUUCAGUAUGUGCUUCACGUGCGAUCCAGACACUUUCAUCUCCACACCAGUUCGACCGGUUUUUGCCACAGGGAAGAAAUCUGGACACUCCCACAUUCCCAUGUCAUCCUUGUAACGUAGAGGGUGGUCAACCUAUAAAAAGAACCUAAAUUACUUUUAAAUAUACCUUAAUCGCAAAAAUGAUAUGUUUUGAUAUCUCAAUACAUAUAUAUUGGUAUAGUUUAACGCAACCUGAUUCCACCUGACGAAAUCUUUACUUCGGUACAUGAUAGCGAGUCCACGGGCAUCAAUUUUGCUCCCAAUGAUGACUCGCCACUCCCCGUCGCGACCCAGCCAGGCGGUGGUGGGGUCCCGGAAGGAGCUGACAUUGAUGUGGUUUUGUGGGGUGGGGGCCAUGAGAGGGUUUUUUGGGGAUUUGACCCAUUCUCUUAGAUAUGGGUCAGAGAGGUUCUUGGGGACAGCCAAGUUUUGAACUUGUUGGUUUUUAGGGUUAAUUCCUGUGUACAAAAUCGCCGGUUUCUCCCCGGGGAGGAUGGUGGCGGAUCCCGACCAGCAGCCGUUGAUAUCAGACGGCUGAGAUGGGAAGAUGGCG